AGGGCACCACCAGGAGUGGAGCCUGCGGCUUAAUUUGACUCAACACGGGAAAACUUACCUGGUCCUGACACUAGAAGGAUUGACAGAUUGAUAGCUCUUUCUUGAUUUGGUGGAUGGUGGUGCAUGGCCGUUCUUAGUUGGUGGAGUGAUUUGUCUGGUUAAUUCCGAUAACGAACGAGACUCUAGCCUAUUAAAUAACACACAGAAUCUUGUCUUCUGUGGCGUUUCUUAAUGGGAUCAAGUGUGUUUAACGCUUUGAAACAGAGCAAUAACAGGUCUGUGAUGCCCUUAGAUGUUCGGGGCCGCACGCGCGCUACAUUGAGAGACAAAAUGAGUUUUCUAGUCUUUAAUAAGGCUAGUAAUCUUUGAAUGUUUUUCUUAAUGGGGAUAGGGGAUUGCAAUUGUGCCCCUUGAACGAGGAAUUCCCAGUAAGUGCUAGUCAUUAGCUAGUACUGAUUACGUCCCCGCCCUUUGUACACACCGCCCGUCGCUACUACCGAUUGGAUGACUUAGUGAGGU
rnacentral:rRNA from 1 species